GUGGAUUAGAUAGCCUGGUAGUCCACACUGUAAACGAUGAUUACUAGGUGUGGGAGGUCUGACCCCUUCCGUGCCGCAGUUAACGCAAUAAGUAAUCCACCUGGGGAGUACGACCGCAAGGUUGAAACUCAAAGGAAUUGACGGGGGCCCGCACAAGCAGUGGAUUAUGUGGUUUAAUUCGAAGCAACGCGAAGAACCUUACCAGGUCUUGACAUCCAACUAACGAACUAGAGAUAGAUUAGGUGCCCUUCGGGGAAAGUUGAGACAGGUGGUGCACGGCUGUCGCCAGCU
rnacentral:rRNA from 1 species